rnacentral:rRNA from 1 species
AGCUCGUAGGCGGUUUGUCGCGUCUGCUGUGAAAACUGGGGGCUCAACCCCCAGCCUGCAGUGGGUACGGGCAGACUAGAGUGCGGUAGGGGAGAUUGGAAUUCCUGGUGUAGCGGUGGAAUGCGCAGAUAUCAGGAGGAACACCAAUGGCGAAGGCAGAUCUCUGGGCCGUUACUGACGCUGAGGAGCGAAAGCAUGGGGAGCGAACAGGAUUAGAUACCCUGGUAGUCCAUGCCGUAAACGUUGGGAACUAGAUGUAGGGACCAUUCCACGGUUUCUGUGUCGCAGCUAACGCAUUAAGUUCCCCGCCUGGGGAGUACGGCCGCAAGGCUAAAACUCAAAGGAAUUGACGGGGGCCCGCACAAGCGGCGGAGCAUGCGGAUUAAUUCGAUGCAACGCGAAGAACCUUACCAAGACUUGACAUAUACGAGAACGGGCUAGAAAUAGUCAACUCUUUGGACACUCGUAAACAGGUGGUGCAUGGUUGUCGUCAGCUCGUGUCGUGAGAUGUUGGGUUAAGUCCCGCAACGAGCGCAACCCUCGUUCUUUGUUGCCAGCACGUAAUGGUGGGAACUCAAAGGAGACUGCCGGGGUCAACUCGGAGGAAGGUGGGGAUGACGUCAAAUCAUCAUGCCCCUUAUGUCUUGGGCUUCACGCAUGCUACAAUGGCCGAUACAAAGGGCUGCAAUACCGCAAGGUGGAGCGAAUCCCAAAAAGUCGGUCUCAGUUCGGAUUGAGGUCUGCAACUCGACCUCAUGAAGUCGGAGUCGCUAGUAAUCGCAGAUCAGCAACGCUGCGGUGAA